UUCAAAAGUAUUUCUGUCUCUUUAUUGUAACACCACAAAUACAGUUAAAAAUCAAACAGUCUUGGUGUGAAUAUAAUCUUCAUAAUAAUGUAUAACAAAAGCAAAACUCAUUUUGAUCAAAUAAAAUGGUUCUGGGUCAUCAAAAUGUGUCCUGGAUCUAGCUAAUAAAACAUGCACACUGAAAGCUGGAUAGCAGAUAUCAAGUCUAUACAUUGGCUGGCUGGGCUGAUGAGACAGUGGAGAUCUAGUUUAUACAUUGGCUGGCUGGGCUGAUGAGACAGUGGAGAUCUAGUUUAUAAAUUGGCUGGCUGGGCUGAUGAGACAGAAGAGAUCUAGUUUAUGAAUUGGCUGGCUGGGCUGAUGAGACAGUGGAGAUCUAGUUUAUACAUUGGCUGGCUGGGCUGAUGAGACAGUGGAGAUCUAGUUUAUAAAUUGGCUGGCUGGGCUGAUGAGACAGAAGAGAUCUAGUUUAUGAAUUGGCUGGCUGGGCUGAUGAGACAGUGGAGAUCUAGUUUAUAAAUUGGCUGGCUGGGCUGAUGAGACAGUGGAUUGCGCAAUCAGAUGUAAUAGUGAAUAGGCUAUUCAACGUCAUAGCCUUAGCCGGUGGUACCUUAAAUAAUCAGCAUCCAGGAUUAGACCCACCCAAAAAAACUACAAUAAAUAACAGUAAAAUCCUCCACUAUAGAAAUCUGAGCUUAUUUCACUCUGGAUCAGAGAGUCUGCUAAAUGACUCACUACUGUAGUGGCUCUGGAUCAGAGAGUCUGCUAAAUGACUCACUACUGUCGUGGCUCUGGAUCAGAGAGUCUGUUAAAUGACUCACUACUGUAGUGGCUCUGGAUCAGAGAGUCUGCUAAAUGACUCACUACUGUAGUGGCUCUGGAUCAGAGAGUCUGCUAAAUGACUCACUACUGUAGUGGCUCUGGAUCAGAGAGUCUGUUAAAUGACUCACUACUGUAGUGGCUCUGGAUCAGAGAGUCUGCUAAAUGACUCACUACUGUAGUGGCUCUGGAUCAGAGAGUCUGUUAAAUGACUCACUACUGUAGUGGCUCUGGAUCAGAGAGUCUGCUAAAUGACUCACUACUGUAGUGACU
ensembl:lncRNA